rnacentral:lncRNA from 1 species
UUUGGUUCUGUCCCCAAAUCCUGAUCUCAGAGUCAAAUUUGGCAACACUUUGUGUGUGAAAAAAAGAAUUAAAUCAAAUUAAUCCCCAACACUAGGGGCAAUUCUGAUUCUGGGGGUGCCAUUCCCACUCUGGGGGUGCAGUUCUGAUUCCAGGGGUGCAGUUCCCAUUCCAGGGGUGCAGUUCCCAUUCUGAGGGUGCAGUUCCCACUCGGGGGUGCCAUUCCCAUUCCUGGGAUGCAGUUCCCACUCUGGGGGUGCAGUUCCCAUUCCGGGGUGCAGUUCCCACUCUGGGGGUGCAGUUCUGAUUCUGUGGGUGCAGUUCCCACUCUGGGGGUGCAGUUCUGAUUCUGGGGGUACAGUUCCCAUUUUGGGGGUGCAGUUCCCAUUCUGGGGGUGCAGUUCCCACUCUGGGGGUACAGUUCCCAUUCUGGGGGUGCAGUUCCCAUUCCGGGGGUGCCAUUCCCAUUCUGAGGGUGCCAUUCUCAUUCUGUGGGCGCAGUUCCCAUUCUGGGGGUGCAGUUCUGAUUCUGGGGGUGCAGUUCCCACUCUGGGGGUACCGUUCCCAUUCUGGAGGUGCAGUUCCAAUUUUGGGGGUGCAGUUACGAUUCUGGGGGUGCCAUUCCCAUUCUGGGGGUGCAGUUCCCACUCUGGGGGUGCAGUCUCCACUCUGGGGGUGCAGUUCCCAUUCUGGGGGCGCAGUUCUGAUUCUGGGGGCGCAGUUCCCAUUCUGUGGGUGCAGUUCCCACUCUGGGGGUGCAGUUCCGAUUCUGUGGGUGCAGUUCCCAUUCCGGGGUGCCAUUCCCACUCUGGGGGUGCAGUUCCCACUCGGGGGUGCAGUUCCCAUUCUGGGGGUGCAGUUCUCAUUCUGGGGGUGCAGUUUCCACUCUGGGGGUGCAGUUUCCACUCUGGGGGUGCAGUUCCCACUCUGUGGGUGCAGUUCCCAUUCCGGGGGUGCAGUUCUGAUUCUGGGGGNAGCCCGCCCUACGUGUGCUAUGUCACCCUGCCCGGGGGCAGCUGCUUCGGCAGCUUCCAGGUACCGUCCCCACCCGGGAAUGCCCCUCCAGGACCCCACCAGGAUCGUUUCCCAAAUAUCUCCUCCCUGUUGUGCAUUCUCCUCCCUGCAUCUGCCUCUAAACCCCGUUAGCUGUAAGGAAAUUCCCGGGGAAUGCCCUCCAGGAUCUCACCAGGAUCGUUUUCCAAAUAUCUUCUCCCUGUGUCUGGAUCUAAACCUCUUUAUUUUUAAGGGAAUUCCUGGGGAAUGCCCUCCAGGACCACAUCAGGAUUGUUUUCCAAAUAUCUCCUCCCUGUUGAGUGUUCUCCUCCCUGAUCUGCCUCUAAACCUCUUGGUUUAAUUGCAAGUUGUUCCUGGUCUGUAAAUCCCCAUCAGGUCCCAAUCUGGGAAGAUUUGGAUUGUGCAACCUCUUUAGUUGCAAAGGAAAUUCCCGGGGAAUGCCCCUCCAGGAUCCCACCAGGAUCGUUUUCCAAAUAUCCAAAUAUCUUCUCCCUGCUGGGUGUUCUUCUCCCUCCAUCU